CACCAUGGUGACUUGCAAGCAACUCACUAUGCUUUGGUAUCAGACUAUCUAAAUUUUUAAUUCAGUGACGAAAGAUUUUUGGGUACAGUCAAGUACUUGUGAAGUCGGUAUGUGAGUCAAGAUAGAAUUGAUCCCUCCAAAUAAGUAGGAAUUAAUGCAUCAAUGUGUUUCAAUUCAGUAAAACCUUAGCCAGAGUAAUCCAUGUGAUGAAUUUGAAAGAUUG
rnacentral:lncRNA from 1 species